AGUAGAUUGCCAUCGUGCGCAUCGCGCUAACGGUUUUUCCGCUCCACUCGCCACGCGCGCGGACGGUUUCUCCGCCCCAAUCGCCACCACCGCCGACUCCUCCUCCGCCCACCUGCCUCCUUCGCUCCAGAUCACUGCCAACGACUCCUCCUCCGCCCAUCGCCCCCGCCGGUGAUGCUGCCGCCGCUGAUGCCCCCGCAUCCGACACCACCGCCGCGGAGUACGCUUCAGAUCCCCUCGCUUGGCCUAUUCCUCCUCCUGCCCACUGCCAACCCCUCCCCCCCCCUCCCCGCCGCCGAUUCCUCUCACCGAGGCGCUCUCAUCCCUCCCCUCCCCAUCGCUGGUCCUUCCAUCACGCCACCGAUGCCUCGCCUGAGUCCGUCGAAGACACCGCGUCUCCACAAUCCCCACGCCUCGAGGCGGCGUCUAUCUCUCACGCAACGCAACUCCACCAAUCCUGCAUCUCCUACUGUGCCGAUGGGGAGGUUUUUCACGAAAUGUGCAAGAGGGGACAUCUGGGUGCUUGCCGCGACGUCUGAUGCUGAGCUACUCGGACUUGCCGAGAUCAUCAGCGCUGCGUCUGUGAUGUGAACGCCUCCUCCUGUCCCAUGCACUGCCAAUGACACUAUCCCUGACCAUUCCACAAUACAACUCCUUGUGGACCACCAGGAAAUUGCAAGUUGUCAUUUGAAGUUCAAUGGAUUUACUCUGCAGUCUGCACAAUAUGUUCGGUGUCUUUGCAAGCAGUUGACUUUGAUACAGAAAUGUACAUGAAACCCAAUGGAAAUUUCUGUAUUCAAAUUCUAGGUACAUGAAGUAUUUUCUCUUCAACAAUAUGGGUCACAUUGUAACCCGCAAAAUACACGUCCAAGAAAUGCAAGAUGGGCUUUGAUUGUCAGUCCUUCAUGUAUGAUGCCCUAGCAAUGUGAAUAUUUUGUUAUGGUUUUGAAAUGACUGAUUCUAGGGGACAUGUCGUCCUGCGAUGCGAUGUGUGGUUGGAUGGUACUCCCUCCGUCCCACAAUAUAAGGGAUUUUGAGUUUUUGCUUGCAA